rnacentral:rRNA from 1 species
GAUGAACGCUGGCGGCGUGCCUAAUACUGCAAGUCGAGCGAACAGAUGAGAAGCUUGCUUCUCUGAUGUUAGCGGCGGACGGGUGAGUAACACGUGGGUAACCUACCUAUAAGACUGGGAUAACUCCGGGAAACCGGGGCUAAUACCGGAUAAUAUUUUGAACCGCAUGGUUCAAUAGUGAAAGACGGUUUCGGCUGUCACUUAUAGAUGGACCCGCGCCGUAUUAGCUAGUUGUUAAGGUAACGGCUUACCAAGGCGACGAUACGUAGCCGACCUGAGAGGGUGAUCGGCCACACUGGAACUGAGACACGGUCCAGACUCCUACGGGAGGCAGCAGUAGGGAAUCUUCCGCAAUGGGCGAAAGCCUGACGGGGCAACGCCGCGUGAGUGAUGAAGGUCUUCGGAUCGUAAAACUCUGUUGUUAGGGAAGAACAAAUUUGUUAGUAACUGAACAAGUCUUGACGGUACCUAACCAGAAAGCCACGGCUAACUACGUGCCAGCCGCCGCCGUAA